AGUCAGUCAUUGCAUCGGGUCCAUCUGUACAACUCUCUCUCUCUCUCUCUCUCUCUCUCUCUCUCUCUCUCUCUCCUAAUCUAUCUGCAUCUCUCUUCUCUCUUUGGACAGAACCCACAAGACUGACACCGACACCUCUUGACAUGGAGAUACACUAAUGUAAUAGGCAGGAAGGAACACUGGCUUGCACCCCGUUGGUUCCAGGUGGCCUUAUUUGGGCGACUCGGUCCUGACCUUAUUUCUGGUAAGUCUAUUUGCUUUGACCUGGGAGGGGGAUGGGAAGAGGACAGGUUGAGUACAAGGAGUGAAAAAAUUGUCCCCCUUUUCCUCGUUAUCUAGAAGAUAGGAGGGAAACGACGCGGAAUGUUGUUUCCACUGCCAAUAAGAUUAUACAAAGGGAGGAGCGGGUAGGAGCACUUUUCUGGAGAAGCUAGGGACUGGGGAGCUCGCGGCUGCCAGACAAUGCCAGCCCGGAGUGGAGGGAGAGCAUCCGGCAGUAGCGACCGGCUUUCAGCGAGCCCAGCUGGCUCUGAGUUUCCCAGGAGGAUCUGCGAAGGAAGAGAACCCGGGCCUAGGGAUGGGCGUAGGACUGUGAAAGGCUAGAUACUAUAAAGCCCGGGGUCCUGCCUAUCGCUAUUGUGGCUGAUUUGCGUCAAGGCGGCCACCGAGGCAGCAUGGACCGCUAUUAGCCCGGCUGUGGGACCUUUUCGCUGUAUUGUUAGAUAGAACUGCAUUUUAAUGACUGAGUCCCUGCUGUUGCCAAAGUGGAGGGCGAUCUCCUGUCACAAUAAAAAGCUUCUGUGAAGAAUACUUUCAAACGCGAGGCAGAAAUCAAGGUACAAACCGUUGAAAUGUAGGCAACUGGGAAGAGAAAGAGGGUUUAUACUGAAAGGGAGCUGAGAGAACCUGUAUUCUGCAACGUAUUUGACUUGCAAUUGGAAAUCAGAAGGGGACAGGACGAGUGCAGAAACAGAAAGUAGUAUCAUAAACUUUCUAUGUUGUGGCUAUUUUUCUUAUUCCCACUGUCUGGAAAAUAUACUUGCCAUUUGGGGCAUAUGGGAGAACGAAUAGGAAAGGGGCUAGCCAAAGUUACAGGCAUUGCAUUUUCUUACAUUUGUAUGGCAAUUGGCUAGUGGAUGUUGAUUUAAACAAAAUACACAUCGCCUAUAUUUUUCUUUAAUGAGAAGCUAGCUGAACAAGAAAAGAGUAAGAUCGGUUUUCCCCACGGCCACUUAAGGUAUAUAAAUACAGAGACAAUCACUGUCACUGGUGAAACUGCUAGGGAAAAACCAACUUAGAGGAAUUGUUAGAUUUCCCCAAGAAAAAUGGCAUGGCUAACUAAGACCUAGUUUAAAUAAUUUAAAUGAUUGCUUUCUUUAAGUGCUAAGUAUUACAGGGGGUGUCCAGUGGCUGAGGAAGGAAACGAUCCCUGUAAGACGGCUUAAUAGAGAGCCCGCCACUGGGGCAUUACUUCUAAAUUGCUGCGGAUUAAACAGCUGGAGGGCCCACUCAGGACCAUUCAAGCAGGGCUGACCCCUUCUAGCCCAAACAGGGUGGUAUCAAGGGAAGUGAGAAUUCACCAGUCAUUACACACAGAAUUUCAGACAGGGGACACUUCAAGCCUGCCCUAUACCUGCUCGCUUCAUGGGCCACAGGCGACUCAAUCCACCCUCUUGUAUAACAAGGUAACUGGGAUUCAACCUCAUCCAUAAAUAAGCAUGUCGAGAAAAAAUAAUUACCUCUGCUUGCUGCUUUUAAUUAAAGCCUCAGAGGGACAGUGCUGGAUUAUGGUAAUGAGCAGACAUGCGUCCCUUCUUGUAGGCUGCAAAGAAAGGUUAGCUGACAUAGAAUUAGUGGCCCUGACACUCCACUUGAAAUCCAUUCGCCAUGCUCCGUGGUCCCCGCCUGCUAGCUAAGGCUGCUCCCCUUGUU
rnacentral:lncRNA from 1 species